rnacentral:rRNA from 1 species
AUGUCUCCCCUGCUCCUCCGGUUCCUCUGCCUACUCCUCCUCGCAGGUGAGGCGGCGCUGACAGGCGCGCAGAGCGGCGGCGACAAGGAGGUGCUGGUGGAGCUCAAGCGCUUCCUGGUUGCCAACAACAGGUUCAACCGCGGCGACUACGACGGGUGGCAGGAGUCGGACCUGUCGCCGUGCCAGUGGAAGGGCGUCGGCUGCGACAGGGGCAGCCGCGUCGCGUCUCUGAACCUGGCGGGCUCGACCAUCUCCGGCCAGGUGUUCGGCAACUUCUCGCGGCUCUCGGCGCUCACGUCGCUCGACCUCUCCGGCAACUCCAUCAACGGCCCGCUCCCGGCCGCCGACCUCAACCAAUGCCGCGGCCUCCUGCACCUCAACCUCUCCCACAACCUCAUCACCGGUCCGCUCAACCUCUCCGGGCUGACCAGGCUACAGACGCUCGACGUGUCGGGGAACCGGCUCGAGGGCGGCGUCGCCGUCAACUUCCCGGCGAUAUGCGCCGACCUCAACUUGCUCGACCUGUCCACCAACAAUCUCACGGGCAACAUCACCGGCCUGUUCGAUGGCUGCGUCAGGCUCGACAAGGUCGACCUCAGCUCCAACAACUUCACCGGCGAGCUAUGGCCUGGAAUCGCGAAAUUCAGGGAAUUCAGCGCCGCCGAGAACAACCUCACCGGGAGCGUCCCGUGGAGCACGUUUCCUGACGGCUGCAGGCUCCAGUCCUUGGACCUCUCCGAUAACCAGCUGGUCGGGGGCUUCCCGGAUUCCGUCGCCAAUUGCACGAAUUUGACGUACAUGUCGCUGUGGGGGAAUAAUUUCACUGGGAUUAUACCUGCCGGAAUCGGGAAGCUCGCCGUCCUCGAGACGUUGAUUCUUGGGAACAACAAGUUCGAUCGGAAGAUACCGCCGGAGCUGACGAACUGCGGGAGACUUCAGUUCUUGGACAUGAGCACCAACAACUUUGGAGGCGACGUGCAACAGAUUUUCGGCAACUUUACGAGCUUGAAGUAUCUUGUGCUUCAUCACAACAAUUACACCGGCGGCAUCGUGGCCUCCGGCGUGCUCCGGCUACCGCUGCUCGCCAGGCUCGACCUCAGCUUCAACCAGUUCACCGGCGAACUCCCUCCAGAGGUGGCCAACAUGAAGAGCCUCAAGUACCUGAUGCUCGCCGAGAACAACUUCUCCGGCACCAUACCGCCGGUGUACGGCUGUCUCGCCGAGCUCCAGGCGCUAGACCUGUCUAACAACACGCUCACAGGUGGGAUCCCAGCGAGCAUAGGAAACCUCACGUCGCUCCUAUGGCUGAUGCUCGCCGGGAACCAGCUCUCCGGAGAGAUACCACCUGAAAUCGGCAACUGCACCAGCUUGCUCUGGCUGAACCUGGCCGACAACCGGUUGACUGGCAAGAUUCCACCGGAGAUGGCAGAGAUAGGGAGGAAUCCCGGCCCGACCUUCGCCAAGAACCGGAAUGAUACGAGCGUGCUCGCCGGCUCCGGCGAGUGCCAGGCCAUGAAACGGUGGAUCCCGGCGAGCUAUCCCCCGUUCAGCUUCGUCUACUCCGUCAUGACCCGGGAGAACUGCCGCAGCAUAUGGGACCGCAUCCUCAAGGGCUACGGAAUCGUCCCAAUUUGCACCAACUCGUCGUCGCCGGCGAGGUCCAACACGGUCUCCGGGUACGUGCAGCUGUCAGGGAACCUGCUUUCCGGCGAGAUACCGUCACAGAUCGGCGCAAUGCGGAGCCUCAGCUUGCUCCACCUCGACGGCAACCGUCUCACGGGGCAGCUGCCACCGGAGAUCGGCCGGCUCCCGCUCGUCAUGCUGAACGUCUCGAGGAACAACCUCUCGGGCCCGAUUCCGUCGGAGAUCGGCGACAUUCUGUGCAUCGAGAGGAUGGACCUGUCCUUCAACAACCUCUCCGGCGAGCUCCCGGCGAGCCUGUUCAAGCUCACCGAGCUAUCAAUGUUCAACGUGUCGUACAACCCACUCCUCUCCGGCAAUGUCUCCACCACCGGCCAGUUCGGCACCUUCGACGAGCAGUCUUUCCUCGGCAACCCGCUCAUUUCGUUGCAUCAGGGUGGAGCUGCCGGUAAGCAGCAACCACCACCGGAAGCUGCCGACGCUCCUGCAGUUCGGACGCGCAGCAUACCGAGAACCAUCGGGAUCUGGCUGCUUUUCUCCCUCGUCAUCGCCUUCAUCGCCGCCACCGUCGUGUUCGCGAUCACCAGCCUACGCGCCCGGUUCCCGGUGGACCAGGAGCCGGAGCUGGACGCAUUCUCGUGCGAGCACCCCAAGGGCAAGUGCGCGUUCGGAAUGUCCUCCUCGCCGCCGUCCGGGUCGUCGUCGGCCACGGGGUGCUCCUCCUCGACGGAGGGAGUGAAGGUGUUCCGGCUGGACAAGACGGCCUUCACCUACCGCGACAUCGUGGCGGCCACGGGCAACUUCUCCGACGACCGGGUGAUCGGGCGCGGCGGCUCCGGCGUGGUGUACCGCGGCGUGCUCCCCGACGGCCGCGCCGUGGCGGUGAAGAAGCUCUCCAGGCCGCGCGACGGCGUGGACGGCGACGGCGAGCGCGAGUUCCGCGCCGAGAUGGAGGUGCUCGCCGACCGGAUGGGGUUCACGUGGCCGCACCCGAACCUCGUCACGCUCUACGGGUGGUGCCUCUCCGGCGGCGCCAAGAUACUGGUCUACGAGCGCCUCGACGGCGGGAGCCUGGAGGCGCUGAUCUGCGACACGGGCGCGUUCGGGUGGGCGGCGCGGCUGGACGCGGCGGUGGGCGUGGCGCGGGCGCUGGCGUUCCUGCACCACGAGUGCGUGCCCGCCGUGGUGCACCGCGACGUGAAGGCCAGCAACGUGCUCCUGGACGGCGACGGGCGCGCCAAGGUGACGGACUUCGGGCUGGCCAGGGUGGUCCGCCCCGGCGACACCCACGUGAGCACGAUGGUGGCCGGCACGGUCGGUUACGUGGCGCCGGAGUACGCACAGACGUGGCGCGCCACGACGAAAGGCGACGUCUACAGCUACGGCGUGCUCCUCAUGGAGCUCGCCACGGGCCGGCGCGCGGUCGACGGCGGCGAGGAAUGCCUCGUCGACUGGGCCCGGCGCACCGCGAAGGAGGGCCGGAAGCAGCAAACGGAGGAUCAACAGACGACCGGCACGGUGUUCUGGGAGCUGCUCGAGCUGGGCAUGCGGUGCACGGCCGACGCGCCGCACGAGCGGCCGGACAUGCCGGUCAUCCUCGCCGCGCUGCUGGACAUGGCCGGCGACGCGGGCUGUGCAUACUGCAUGAGCUCAGGACACAGCGACGGCGAGCAAACAAGUUCUCUGACAUAG